UCGAACGGUGAACACGGAGCUUGCUCUGUGGGAUCAGUGGCGAACGGGUGAGUAACACGUGAGCAACCUGCCCCUGACUCUGGGAUAAGCGCUGGAAACGGCGUCUAAUACUGGAUAUGUGACGUGACCGCAUGGUCUGCGUCUGGAAAGAAUUUCGGUUGGGGAUGGGCUCGCGGCCUAUCAGCUUGUUGGUGAGGUAAUGGCUCACCAAGGCGUCGACGGGUAGCCGGCCUGAGAGGGUGACCGGCCACACUGGGACUGAGACACGGCCCAGACUCCUACGGGAGGCAGCAGUGGGGAAUAUUGCACAAUGGGCGCAAGCCUGAUGCAGCAACGCCGCGUGAGGGACGACGGCCUUCGGGUUGUAAACCUCUUUUAGCAGGGAAGAAGCGAAAGUGACGGUACCUGCAGAAAAAGCGCCGGCUAACUACGUGCCAGCAGCCGCGGUAAUACGUAGGGCGCAAGCGUUAUCCGGAAUUAUUGGGCGUAAAGAGCUCGUAGGCGGUUUGUCGCGUCUGCUGUGAAAUCCGGAGGCUCAACCUCCGGCCUGCAGUGGGUACGGGCAGACUAGAGUGCGGUAGGGGAGAUUGGAAUUCCUGGUGUAGCGGUGGAAUGCGCAGAUAUCAGGAGGAACACCGAUGGCGAAGGCAGAUCUCUGGGCCGUAACUGACGCUGAGGAGCGAAAGGGUGGGGAGCAAACAGGCUUAGAUACCCUGGUAGUCCACCCCGUAAACGUUGGGAACUAGUUGUGGGGUCCAUUCCACGGAUUCCGUGACGCAGCUAACGCAUUAAGUUCCCC
rnacentral:rRNA from 1 species